UACGAAGGGUGCAAGCGUUACUCGGAAUCACUGGGCGUAAAGCGUGCGUAGGCGGUUCGUUAAGUCUGUUGUGAAAGCCCUGGGCUCAACCUGGGAACUGCAGUGGAUACUGGCGAGCUAGAGUACGGUAGAGGAAGGUGGAAUUCCCGGUGUAGCGGUGAAAUGCGUAGAGAUCGGGAGGAACACCAGUGGCGAAGGCGGCCUUCUGGACCAGUACUGACGCUGAGGCACGAAAGCGUGGGGAGCAAACAGGG
rnacentral:rRNA from 1 species